rfam:Xiphophorus maculatus strain JP 163 A Contig73.39, whole genome shotgun sequence.
GUAUUCUAUCCUUCAUUCCACCGGAGUCUGUCUUAAAGUGCCAAUCAGAUUUCAGUGGUUUGAAGAGUAAAACACA